rnacentral:rRNA from 1 species
UACGUAGGGUGCAAGCGUUAAUCGGAAUUACUGGGCGUAAAGCGUGCGCAGGCGGUGAUGUAAGACAGGUGUGAAAUCCCCGGGCUUAACCUGGGAACUGCAUUUGUGACUGCAUCGCUGGAGUGCGGCAGAGGGGGAUGGAAUUCCACGUGUAGCGGUGAAAUGCGUAGAUAUGUGGAGGAACACCGAUGGCGAAGGCAGCCUUCUGGGCCAACACUGACGCUCAUGCACGAAAGCGUGGGGAGCAAACAGG